AUUUUCCGUUUCGUUUGUAAAUGGUAACAUUAGAACCCAAAGGAGGAGCGCAAGAAAGAGGAAGAGAAGGAGUGGGAGAUGGAAACAGGGAAGGUUAUAGUUGAGAAAGUAAGAGGAAAAUCAACACUUACUAAAUGCUUUUCAAAGUAUCCCCUCAAAUUCAUCAACCCAAAAAAUGUCGCUCCUUCUCAAACUGAUGUUGUUUGGAUUUACGCCAUCACUUAUGGUGGAGGAAUUGUCUCUGGAGAUUCUACAGUAUGCGAUUUUACAAUUGGAGAUGGUUGCACCACUGUUUUGACUACUCAAGCUUCUACUAAGGUCUAUAAAGCUGUGGGAACAAAAAUCUCUGAACAAGUGUUGGAGGCAAGAAUAGGAAGCAAUGCGUUUUUGGCUGUAAUUCCAGAUCCAGUGACCUGUUUCUCCACUGCAAAAUAUUCCCAGAAGCAAGUGUUCAAAGUUAUGUCAGACUCAAGUUUGCUUCUUGUUGAUUGGAUAACUAGUGGCCGUCAUGAAACAGGAGAAAAAUGGAAUUUUGAUCUUUAUAGGAGCAUGAAUAACAUUUUUCAUAAUGAUGAUGAGCCUUUAUUCCUUGAUACAGCAUUGCUAGAACAAGGAACAUGUUCAGAUAUAGCUGAGCGUAUGCAAGACUAUCAAGUGAUCGCAAUGGUGAUAUUACUGGGGUGUGUAGGUUACUCAUCUGGCCAAAGUUGAAGCACAUUCAAAACCAAAUCCAGGAAGAUGUGAAGAAAAUAAUGUCUCAGAGUUUACACAUGCCUACAAUUGGUUCAAGACAGUCGACUAGUAGACAUAAUGAUCAUCACUUGACCAAACCAAGUUUUCUUGCUUCCUGUAGCAUAUUUGGUCCAAAGGGAAUUGGAGUUGUUACUCGAAUAGCUGCCAUGACAACGGAAUCAGUGUACAAUUUUCUGCAACAUCAGUUGUCCAGUAUGGAGCCACUACUUGGUGUCAAGCCAUAUUCUUACGCAAGUUAAUAAAACAUUUUCUUGUUCAUGUUGAUUGACAUGUAUGCGCGGAUGGAUCAUUAGCUUUUACAAUGAGGAGGAAAGUUCUCACUAUAACUGUCUCUGAAUAGGUAUGCGCGGAUGGGUCAGUAGCUUUUGAACAUGGGGCAACCGUUUAGGUUCUUACCGUUCAUCGGGAUGGAGUAUAACCGUGCCAGAUCAAGAAUCUUAAAAUGUUGUUAUAUCCAACAGGUUGUAGCAUUCAAGCUGAACUGAAAAGUCCUAUUUGGAGCAGCAUGUAUCCUAUAUUGAGGAAUCUUAUAACCUGUUUUGUUGGGCUUAUGCCUUUUAUGGGCGGCUUAAAACACUUUUGUUUUGCUUAUAUACUACAAAAAUGCUUUAAAGUCAAUUCAAACAGGUUCUCAGUAAUUCAAUCGGUUAGUUACUAAA